rnacentral:lncRNA from 1 species
AGCCUGUUGAGAGGUUGGCCCUACAACAGGUCCACAUCUCGCCUGCCCAAUUCUGUUUUAUUUGUAAUGACCAGUGGAAGCUACUUUUCUGAAGUCCAUCCUCUGUAUUAAACUAGUCCCACUUCGUCUUUGUUUCGCUACAGUCCAGUUUAGGCGGUCCCUUUAUUCAAUCAAAUCCCACUGUAUAGGGCUCUUCUACCAUCCGGGUACUUUAAGUGCGCCGCAGAUGUGGAGGUGAAAACAAUGGUGGUAUUAAGCAGCGUUUUGGCCUGUGAGGGACAGAUUGUGUUCGAUAAAUUUAGUUUUUCUCAGUAAAUCAGCCUAAAAGCUGUUGUGCGGUCGGAUGUUCCAUUUUGUCAGAACUACAGCUUCAAUCUUGUAAACUGACCAGUGACCUGGAAGUGUGGAGGGCGCAGCGGGCGGCGCCGUCUUUGUACAUCCGGUGUGAUCCGGAGCUUUCACGGAGCAGCAGCGGAGAGACAGCAGAGGCAGCGAAGAAUGGACCGAACGGCUACAGCCAAAAUAACCGUGCAACAUCAUUAACACAACAGCAAGUAUCAGCGACGGCGGCUCCGCGACAAGCAGCGCCGGAUCCCGAUGUGCGCCAUCCCCGUGACCGGACCCUGAGCGUCCCGCAGACCGAGGCAGAUCCGCGCACGGCGAAGGUUGGAGCCCCUCGUAUCCGCAGAUGUGCCCGUCCCGCCUGUGUUAGAGCCUGUGCCUGUGAGGGGAGCAGCCUCUGUCCCAUGAGAGAGUGCUCCGGGCGCUGCCACUGACCAGGGCUGUGGCUGGGCUGGGUCUACAGCAGAGGUCUAUCUCACCAGAGGAGACGUCGUCGGGACCUCUAUGCAACUCAACACUUUGCACGCUCACCAAAUUACGUCACUGCGACGUCUGGAAAAUGUCUCCAGACAACGUGAGAGCCGCGGUGUCGUCUCUGAAACGACUUCACAGUUGUGGAGAUUUCUCUGUGACGUCAGAAUUACGUCUCUUUAAGAUCUCCUUGGUAUCGGACAUGGCAGGGACAUCACAGAAACGUCUCACAGGUUGUGGACAUUCAUAGUUUCCGCGAUGUUGCCACAGCUGGGUACCGUUCGUUUUUUUCGACGAUACCGAUGCCUUAACGGUACUUUUUUAUA